AACGAACGCUGGCGGCGUGCCUAACACAUGCAAGUCGUGCGAGAAAGUUUCCUUCGGGGAGCGAGUAAAGCGGCGCACGGGUGAGUAACACGUAGGUAACCUACCCUUCAGUCCGGAAUAACCAGCUGAAAAGCUGGCUAAUGCCGGGUAAGACCACGAUCUCUGCGGGGAUCGCGGCCAAAGGCGGCCUCUUCAUGAAAGCUGAUGCUGAGAGAUGGGCCUGCGUACCAUUAGCUAGUUGGUGAGGUAAC
rnacentral:rRNA from 1 species